GACGAACGCUGGCGGCGUGCUUAACACAUGCAAGUCGAACGGAAAGGCCCUUCGGGGUACUCGAGUGGCGAACGGGUGAGUAACACGUGGGUGAUCUGCCCUGCACUUUGGGAUAAGCCUGGGAAACUGGGUCUAAUACCGGAUAGGACUACGGCCUGCAUGGGUUGUGGUGGAAAGCUUUUGCGGUGUGGGAUGGGCCCGCGGCCUAUCAGCUUGUUGGUGGGGUGAUGGCCUACCAAGGCGACGACGGGUAGCCGGCCUGAGAGGGUGACCGGCCACACUGGGACUGAGAUACGGCCCAGACUCCUACGGGAGGCAGCAGUGGGGAAUAUUGCACAAUGGGCGCAAGCCUGAUGCAGCGACGCCGUGUGGGGGAGUGACGGCC
rnacentral:rRNA from 1 species